rnacentral:lncRNA from 1 species
CGAACCUGGUUUCUUUCUAGUGAACUAGACGUCCUUUUAAUUUCAUCUAUGGUUUUGGGUUUUAAGUGUAAUAAGGCCUUUUAAUUAUUUUCAUGGUUUUGUUUUACUUUUAUUAUUUUAUUUUACUAUGAUGAAACAAACUAUGAUGACUAAGGAAAAUGGGUUAGCUUUAGGACGCGUUUUCAAAAACAUUAAGGGAUUUCAAAAUAACACGAUUACAAGUAAGACUUCCGCUAAGCAAACGUUU